UUUCAAAGGAUCUUUUGCCUUGUUCUGCAGAGGAACUUGUAAAUGUACAUAUUCUGGCUGUUAAUGAUGAUUUUUAAGAAUAGUUUUGAUAGAUUUAAAUUGAAUGUGUUGUAGUACAUUAUGCCAGUGCUUUGAUUCAGGUGAUCACACUGUUGUUUGAUUCCUUAUUGAUGCUUGCAAUGCUGUGUUUAUUAUUAAUUCAAAUUACUAUUCAGCCUGAACCGCUCAUUGUACAGAUUACAUUCAAACUUAAUAUUUUAGAUAAUUCCAGUGUCUAUGCAUACUAUCUAGUUGGAAUACUAGAAACUUUAAGAGUCAAAUUUGAAAAUUAUUUUGUGUAAGAAAAAUGUACUUAAUUCAAGAUGUAGUCUCUGAGAAGAAGAAAAAAGUCUUAUCUCACACAAUUUAUCUUGUUUUCAAGAUUUUUAUAGAUUUUUACUGGAAAACAUAACAAAAUACGGAUUUAUUUAUAUAUUUUUCCAGUGUGGGAAUACAAGAUUGCAAAAUGCAACUUUUGUGGAUUAAAUGAUGUUUUUGGCCCUUGGCCUUCAAAAGUCAGCACUGUAGUCAUUUCUGUUGUGAACAGCCAAACAUUUUGAGAUGUCUAUUUGAACAGGAUGAGUUGAAGAAUAUGAGUUAAAUUAAAGACAGGAAGUGGCUCAGGAACAGACAGGGAAUGGAUCAGAGCAUAUGUAUUUGAUUAAAGAAGCUCUUUGGCUUAAACGUUUCAGCACGUUUAUGUAGGCAGAAUGUGAGAACUCCAGGAUUUCUCAAGACACACUUGGAAAUGUCUCUCACUGCAGAACACGGUCAUUAUUUAUAAACUUUUAAGACAUUUUUUCCCUUACUAUUUUGUGUGGUCUAAUCAAUGACAGUGAUGCAGCUGGAAUGCAUCCUUGAGAAUUCCUGUUUUGUGUCAUUUCCUGUUGAUCAGAGCCAGAAUGUGUCCCAGCAGCUGUAUGGAAUAUAUGAGAGAACACUAUGUGUGUGUUUGUGUGGAUGUAAUUUUGGCUGUUUUAUGUGUUUGAAGCAGCAGUUGAGUUUUUUCACUAUGCUUGUUGGGGUCUCUGGCUUCUAUCAAAAUGAAUCAGAGAAAAAAAAAGUUGGCUUUAGCUGAGAUUUGUGACAGGAACAUGUACAACUAGAUUAUGAUGUUGUCUGAAGAAAUUGUGUGUAGUGCUUGUCCAUAUACUAGGGUGUAGUGGAUGGUUGCCAGGAUGUUGCUAACAGGGAUGUCAAUUUUCAGAUAUUUUCAUAAUCACUUGUCGUGGAAAUUAACGAUCAAUUAAUCGUUAACAUUAAUAUCGCAAAACGCAUGCGGAGGACUCCAAAUAAUAUGUGAGUGUAGACUGUUGUUUAAAUAUAAUUUAAAUAAGUAAAUGCAAGUAUUGGCAUUUUCCUCUUAAAAUAUUCUUAGUUCAGUGUAUUUAAAUACAUUUAGGCAAAGUUUAGUUCGAAUUUGGGAUUUGUGUAAUUACUGCUAAUGAAAUGCUGUUAAUAACUUCUAUCUUAAGAUACUUAAGCUAUAUAAUUUGUAUACAUAUUUGAAUUCAUUCAAACUUCCUGUUGUGGAUCGUGGGAUAUUUCGGAUCUUUUUUUUAUUAUUAGAAAUUAAGUCAAAUCAUAACACGCUGUGUAAACACAGUACACAACAUAGGCUACCACUUCUCUGGUGUUAGUGUGAGUCAGCUGAAUGAACCUUCUUGCUUUCCCGGUGAUCGUUGGCGUUAUUGUGGGUUGGGAUGAAACGAGGAGAUCAAUAGUGCUUGUUUUCUUGUUGUACUUUAUCACUGUGUGUGCAGAAAACAUGAAUGUUCAUUUAAAGAGAAACGCUCCAACAUUGUUUACAUUGAGCCCGAUUCAUCUCUCUGAUCUGUGCAUCGGCUCUCUUCUUCUGUGAACAGGAUAAUGACAUGCAGAGCGCUAGUGGUGCACCAAUCGGGAAAUUUUAAGCCGAUACGAUCACCGAUUUUUUUAACACUAAGAUUGUCCGAUACCAAUUUGUUUUAACAGUGUCCUUAGCCACACUUUUGCAAGUUAUAUUCUGCAGUUAUGUUUAUGCCCCACAGAGUAAAAUUACAUUAAUUGUGAAUUGCUAACAUUUAUUUGUAUUGAAAACAGUUAUGAAUAGUUCAGUUGUCAAUAUCAAAUGUCAUUGUGACAUACUGGCAGCCAGUAAAAACCAUGAGAGCAUCACACACAGCAGAGAUAUGUUCAAAAGUAAGAAAGUUGUCUGUUACUAGCUCCAAAUCUGCUCCUGUGAGGAAUAAUUAGUAUUUAUGAUUUGUUUACCACCUUUGGCGUUUUGUUGCAAUACAAAUCACAAAUUAUUAAGCAAAUGCGUGAAGACACGGUGCCGUUAUUUAAGGUUAAACAGUUAUAUCUGUUAUUAGUGGCAUUGCGACUAACAUCAGUCUGAUUUAAAUUGGGAUCCUCAGUUAAAUUGGGAAUAGUGCUGAGAUGAGUGACUGAUGAGAUAAUGAGCACCUGGAGAGCGCGAUUGUUUGAUUGACACCAAGAGUGCUCCUGUUGAAGGGGGAGAUGUUGCAGCCUCUCACAUAAAAUUCAGCAAGUGUGUGCCGAUUUUUCUUUAGGUGAAAUCGGUCUAUGCUGGCACGUAAUUUGAGGAAGGAGCCAAGAUGCAGGAUGGCAAUGAAAGGGGUUUUAUGGAAAAAAUAAUUACAAAUUAUAAACAAAAACUCACAAGGGAGAAAACAAGUAUAACAAGACAACAAUAAAACUGAAAACAAACCAACUGGGGAUAUCUGGAAAUGGCAGGAACAACACGACUGGAAACAAAACACAAAGAUAUGGCAGGGAAGACAAGACAAUGGAGAGAAUAUAUAGAGGAAUAGGAAUGAGCCACAGGUGGUGCUGAUCUACUAAUGAGCCGAGCAAAUCAGCAUUGCCAUGGCAAUGCUGAUUGCACUGCUGAGCAGCACCAGUGAGAAACACGAGGGAAAGAGAAAAACAAAAGCACAUGGAUGACCUGAGAGAUGGGUGGAGGAAACUGUCACAAUCCUGCCACAUAAAGAAUAAUACAAGACCUAAAUUGCAGAAUCAUGACACAUAUAGGGUUACAAUGUUAAACUGCAGUUUGCUAAAAAUGGCUCAAAUUUAGUGUUUUUUUUUUUUUUGAGAAACCCUGCAUUUACUAUACAGUAUGCUGUUCAAAAUUGUUCAUGAUGUUGACAAAUUAUACAUCUGUAUAUUUCGUCAACAUUACUAACUCAUUUUUGACUAGACUAUAUAGUAAAUAUGACCUAAUUUAAGCAAAGUGACAUCAGUUCUGUGGUAUGCACGCACAUCAACAGGUUAAGUUGCAGGGUAUAUAUAGAGAGAGAGGAUCUAAAGGCACAAAUAUUCCUAUACUUGUUAGACGAAAUGAGACGUUUCCUUCAUUCCGAUGAAAACAUGCACAUUCCUCCAGCGCGAGAGGCACAGGGGUCUCGUGGUCGCCCGUUCUGUGACUAGCUCGACUGUCCUCAAAGAGAGAACCAUUCAUUUGUUAAGUGACAUGCCCUCGAGUCAAAAGCUGCACGAAAUCUGGCAACUUUUCAUCAGUUAAGAAAGGCAGCGAUGGGAGAAGAGAAAAGCUCUGUAGUGUGACGGGCCAAUCUGUGCUGCCUGUGAUAAACAUCACAUGAUCUGUGCGCUGUCUACAAUGUGAGCCCCAUUUAUUGCGUGCAAACAGCAAUUUUGAAGCAUCAAAACAUAAAAAGUGCGGUGAUGUAUUUAUACAUUGAAGCCAUGUAUGUGUGCAUGAAUGCUGGCUAUUCAUCAUAACAGCAUAUGAGUUAUCCCACCACUGGUAGGUUGAUGAACAUUGGUGACAUUCUUGUUAAGGGGGUUUUAUAUAAGGUUACAGUGUCACAUCACCCUAGCUAACUGAGCGUAUCACAGGCCCGUGAGUCUCAGCAUGUCUCGUGGCAGUCUCGACUGAUUUAUCUUCUCCUCUCUCUAUGGAGCCGCUGGAACGGGCCCCCUCUGUCUCACAGGAGUCGACUGCAGAUUAACUGAGGAACCCUGGACAUGAUUGAACAUUUAUAUUAAAGCUACACUAUGUAACUUUUGGCCCUCUAGCAGUUAAAAAAUAAAACUGCAUGCGUCUUGCGGAGGAACAUUGUUUUGGUAAUGACGCAAGUUGUGCUUCGGCUCUGCUCCUCUGCGCGGAUGAAUGUGGUUCGAGGCAAUGGUGUACACAUGGAUACAGGACACCUUAUCAGAGUGAAUGGACAAAUAAAUAACGAAAGAAAGGAAAAGACGGAUAUCCGAAAACAUGUCAUCUGAGCAGAUAAGUGCCAUAUCUUAUGCUGUUGUUUUGACUUAUUGGAAACAUUGAUGUUUUGAAAUAAAUGACGUUACAAAAGUUAGGCAACGUUCGUUAACAUGAGACAUAACGAUUGUUAGUCUGAUAAGGUCAAACGUUAUGAAGUUUUUAUAACUGCAGGAUAUUCUGGCCAAAUAGACCAUGAUAGUAACUAAUUUAUAGAUUGUCAUUGGUACCAACCAGUGGUCAAUAUUAUUUCAAGACUCACAUGUCCUUGGCAAGCCUAGGACUUAAGGAUUUAUUUACAUAAAUGAUUGCUAUUAUAAAAAAAAAUACACACGUGUGCUUGCUAGUGAAAAGUUCUGCAUUGAUUACGGUAUAAUUAUUGUAUUUCACUACACACACACACAGACGUGUGUGUUUGUGUGAUUACACAACUAUAUAUAAACCAUAUUGUAGCGCGGAGGAGGGCAGGGCCGGGCGGAAUGACGGACGCCCAGACCCCAAUCAGCCUGAUGAGGCGAGCGAGGGAUAAAGGCAACCGAAGGAGGCAGCUUGAGAGAGAAAGAAUUAUGGGCAGCUGUCCUGUAUUUGUUUGUGUGUCUUUUUAUUUAAUUUCUCGCCUCCUCCUUUCCCUUGUACCCCCUUUACAUUGGUGCCGAAACCCGGGAGGGAGGAGGGAUGCCCAUUGUAGAGUCCUCGACACUGCCGUCCACCCAGGGGAGCGCCGCUACCAUCCGCCAGGGGACGUAGUAGCCUGACCGCGGGGAACGGCCGCCGUCCACGAGGUGAGGAGGGACGGGACUCCCCAACCGCCUGGAGUGAUGGAGUCACUGCCAGGGGUGGUGGAGUGUCCCCACUUGCCGCCAGAAAAGCGGAGGGGCGUUCUGUCCGCUGGGGGUCGGUGGUUUAACUCCGGUCCACCCGGGGAGGAGCGGCUGUCGUCCGCCUGGGAGGGUGGAGUGAUUGUGGACCACGCGACGGCACAUCAGAGAAUCGGUUGAGGAUGGUGGGGAUGACCUGCCGGCAGACGGGGCGCUAGGCACGUCCCCCACCCCGGAGUGGGCUCCCCGGCCUGAGGCAACGCAGGGAGGAGUGUAGCGCGGAGGAGGGCGGGGCCGGGCGGAAUGAUGGACGCCCGGACCCCAAUCAGCCUGAUGAGGCGAGCGAGGGACAAAGGCGACCGAAGACGGCAGAGAGAGAGAGAAUUAUGGGCAGCUGCCCUGUAUGUGUUUGAGUGUCUUUUUAUUUAAUUAAAUAUUAUUUACACUGUUAAGCCGGUUCUCGCCUCCUCCUUUCCCUUGUACCCCCUUUACACGUAUCAAUAAAAUAUCUUACCUGUUGAGUAACAAAAAAGCCAUCUCUGUGUCACUUUUUAAUCGUUUUAGAUCUCGGAGUCAUAUCUGUCCAUAUGACGUAUGUAUGUAAUUUCCCGCAAAA